rnacentral:rRNA from 1 species
AACGAACGCUGGCGGCAUGCCUAACACAUGCAAGUCGAACGAGACCUUCGGGUCUAGUGGCGCACGGGUGCGUAACGCGUGGGAACCUGCCCUUAGGUUCGGAAUAACUCCCCGAAAGGGGUGCUAAUACCGGAUAAUGUCUUCGGACCAAAGAUUUAUCGCCUUUGGAUGGGCCCGCGUUGGAUUAGCUAGUUGGUAGGGUAAAAGCCUACCAAGGCGACGAUCCAUAGCUGGUCUGAGAGGCUGAUCAGCCACACUGGGACUGAGACACGGCCCAGACUCCUACGGGAAGCAGCAGUGGGGAAUAUUGGACAAUGGGCGAAAGCCUGAUCCAGCAAUGCCGCGUGAGUGAUGAAGGCCUUAGGGUUGUAAAGCUCUUUUACCCGGGAUGAUAAUGACAGUACCGGGAGAAUAAGCUCCGGCUAACUCCGUG